CCGUCAAUUCCUUUGAGUUUCAGCCUUGCGGCCGUACUUCCCAGGUGGCUCGCUUCACGGCUUCCCUACGGCACCGACAACGGUCGCACCGUGGCCGACACCUAGCGAGUAUCGUUUACGGCUUGGACUACCCGGGUAUCUAAUCCGGUUCGUGCCCCUAGCUUUCGUCCCUUGCCGUCAGGUCCGUUCUGGUGAGACGCCUUCGCCACUGGUGGUCCUUCAAGGAUUACAAGAUUUCACCCCUACCCCUGAAGUACCUCUCACCUCUCCCGGCCUCGAGCCGAACAGUAUCUCCUGAAAGCCCAACAGUUGAGCUGCUGGAUUUCUCAAGAGACUUAUCCGGCCGGCUACAGACCCUUUAGACCCAAUAAUAACGGUUACCACUCGAGCCGCCGGUGUUACCGCGGCGGCUGGCACCGGUCUUGCCCGGCCCUUGCUAUGCAUGCUUUUUAGGCAUCACGACAGCCAGAUUUGUAACCUGGCACUCGAGGUCCCCUUAUCGCCGUUGCCGGCAUUGUAAAGUUUUCGCGCCUGC
rnacentral:rRNA from 1 species